ACAGGAGCUUUGGUCAUCAGCUCCCUACUGGACUUCUUAACAUUUGCCCUCUGCGCCCCCUACAGUGAAACCACUGAGGGGCAGCAGUUUGACAUGCUGCUUGAAAUGGUUGCAUCUAAUGGACGCACCUUGUUUAAACUCUUUCAGCAUCCCUCAAUGGCAAUAGUGAAGGGAGCUGGGCUGGUGAUGAAGGCCAUUAUUGAGGAGGGAGACAAGGAAAUAGCCACUAAGAUGCAGGAGCUGGCUUUAAGUGAGGGCGC